AUGAAGCCCAGUGCUCAAGUCACCACUUAUUUAUCCUUCAGAGUAUAUGGACUAACCUUUCUGCUACUUCACAAUGCAGGCACCAAGGAAAUGUCUCGCGGGAAGAAGGCAUCUGCCAAUAAGAAGACUGCCGUCCAGAGGCAAAAGAGGAUCUGUCAUUAUCUCCUUUUACCAGGGGAGAAUGGCACACCGGUUACAGAUUUUGUCAAGGGUCUCGCCGGUGAAAUAAUGUGUGAUAGGGAUCCGGUUGGCCAAACACAAGCAUUGGAUACUCCGCCUGCAAGCUUUAUCGAGAGUGUGAAGCAUAUAUUAUUCAGAGUCACGAAUAUGCCACUGGGCGUUCUUGAGUCUGGCUACUGCUUUCAGAGCUUGCAGCUAGAAAACAUCGUGGUGACAGAUUAUUAUGAGAUCCCAAAGUUAGUGGUUGACAACCUGGAGAAAAGAACUGCCAAGGGCACAAAAGCCAAUCUUACAGCCCUCGCAGACAUGCUUCACCAGUUGGUGGGUGAAGCCAGUGCCAAGUAUCACACGGACAAGGAUAUCAAUCCGGAGUUCAAGCAUUUGCUCCAGCAUAUAAAAGGGUAUCAGCAAGGAGACCCAUUCUUCCUUAUGAGAUAUAAUGUUUGUUAUGUGCCACUGGAGAAUAGGCCUUUUCUCUACGUCGAAAUGUAUGACUAUGUGAUGGAUAUUCUGAGAUAUACCAACCCAGAGGCGUUACAGUUUGUGAUCAGCAAUCUGUCCUAUCCAUUGGACUGGAAUGUUCAACUUCUGAACAACUCAUACCUGGUUUGGUCAUUUGGCAGGUCAAGAUAUGAUCCACAGGCGACGCGCUUUCCAGCGGAAACUGAUCCUCGAUUGGAGCCAUUGAGCUACCAUCGGAACGGGCCUGCUCAUCCCUUGGAGGAUUCGGCUGAUCCGGCCGCAGAACAUGGAAUGGCCUCGACAAGGGCGGAUGUUGCACACAGGUUUUAUUUUCUGUUCCUGGACCUGAUGUCGUCAAUGCAGACGAACCUGCACUAUAUUGGAGCUCUAUGCCAUCUGGGAACAGAAAAGCUAUUUCCCUUCCAAGUCAGAAAAACUGGUCGUCAGCAGUAG
rnacentral:rRNA from 1 species